rfam:Angiostrongylus cantonensis strain Taiwan genome assembly, scaffold: ACAC_contig0012231
GCCCGGUUAGCUCGGUGUGUAGGGCACCAGACACUUAAUCUGGUUGUCGCGGGUUCGAGCCCCGCAUCGGGCU